UUUCAAAUAGAAUACAAGAAGAACAAGUAUAUGCCAAUAAUUUGGAAAACCUACAGGAAAUGUACAAAUUCCUAGACACAUACAACCUGCCAAGAUUGAACCAUGAAAAAAUCCAAAACCUGAAUAGA